AUGUAUAUAUAUAAACUGGAGAGCAAUUGAAAUCUUUACAUUUCUCUGGGAACACCAAAAAAAAAAUUCCAAUUUAUAUAAAGAAAAGCAAAACUUUUGAAUGUUUAGAUCUCACCUCCAUGGCAGUUGGCUCCAAAAUCUCUAUUAAAUUCCUUCAAACUCUCCUUCAGAUCUCACUUCUCUCUUCCCCUUCCAAAUAUAACUUCCACUGUUUCCUGGGAGUGCAGGGAGGCUGGUUAAGCACAUGGGCUUCGGGGCACAUCUUGCUGAGUUUAAAUUUAGUCCUGUCACUGUCUAACUUGGGCAGGUACUUGGCACAUGGUAAGCACUCAAUAAAUGUAAUCCAUUGUUGUUACUGUUAUUAGUACUCUUCAAAUUCUGUUGGCUUCUCCAAUAUUUUUUUUUUCACUUAGCCCACUUUUCCAUCCAUGCAGCAAGGAAAGUGUAUUCAUUUCCCAGGGGUGCCAUAAGAAAUUAUCACAAACUUGGGGGCUUAAAACCACAGAAAUCGAUUUCCCCACAGUUCUGGAGGCCAGAAGUCCAAAAUCAAGGUAGCGGCAGGGCCACGCCCCCUCCAAAGGCUCUCCCGGAGAUUCAGUUCCUCGCCUCCUCCAGCCUCUGAUGGCUUUUAGCAUUCCUCGGGUUGUGGCUGCGUCACUCCAGUCCCUGCCUCUGUCUCCACCUGGCCUUCCCCUGGCCUCUCUUGUCUGUGUCUCUUCCAAAGACCCUGGUCGUCGGAGUUAAGGCCCACCCAGAUAAUCUGGGAUGAUCUCAUUUUGAGAACCCUAACUUAAUUACAUCUGCAAAGACCGUUUUUCCAGAUAAGUUCUUAUUCACAGAUUCUGGGGAAGGGUGGGUGUACAUGGAUAUAUUUGCGGGGGUGCAUUUAUCCCACUACAAAAUGACACUGGGUCCUUCUCCUUGUGGAUGGUGGGUGGGGAGAGGGUGGAACACUCCUGUAAUUCUUUUUUUUUUUUUCCUUUUCUCCUUGUCAUGCUGAAUAUAUUGAGUCAGCAGCCAGCAUCAGGUACCUGGGAAUGAGGAAGGAAAGACAGGCAGAUGGCAGAGGGGCCUGUCAACUUCUCCUUUUCACCCACACUCACGCCACUCUUUCAUUUGCAACCACAGAAUACCUAACUGCAAGAACUGCCGCAUCCCUGGUGGUCUGACCAUGUCUCUGAGCUAAGCAGCAGAUUUCAGCCACAGGGUCUGACUCUCAGGCAGACACAUCCUGUCCAAGGACUGGAGACAGAGCAUCCGUUCUCCCACCCGGAGCGGUCAGCUGCAUGUGGCCGGUUGGGGGCGGUUCAGAAACGUCCCAAGAGAAAUGGAAAUAUGAUGGCUAGUUGAUUGUUUCGCAGUCUGCAUGACAGACCACCCUCCUAACAAGACUCUAGGUCAAGUGCUCUUCUCUGCCCUGUGGAUCUAUUGGGGAGAAAUUAGCUCUCGGUGGUAUUUCCAAUUAUGGAGAAAAGCGAUUCCUCCCUGGUCUGGCUAUCAUGUGUUUUGCAGUGGACCAAGAGACAUGAAGCCUGUUUUCCACCCUCGCCUCUUUCUCCAUCUCGCUGCAUGACCUUGGGAGGUGGCGUGACCUCUCGGCUUCUUUGCUGUCUCAUCUGUCAUGAUCCACCUUUACUACUUCAUAGCCAUGUUCUAGGAUACAUAAGAGAAGCCUCUACAUCUUUUAGUCUCCCAGAAAGAUGUGAACCAGUGAUGAGUUCCAUGAAGACAAAGACCUGCUUAUCUUGUUCUACUCCAGCACCGAGCAGCAACAGCGACGAGGCCCGAGGUGCAGCUGUCUCGCCUCGCCUGUCUUUUGCAGGCACCGGCAUGCACAGAAGAUGGCUGUCCGGGAGGAAGAUUCCUUUCCAUUUUGUUCGCUCCCUGCCUCCGCAAGGCUCCCAGCCACCUCUCGGGAGGGCAGAGCAAGAUCCUGUGCCAGGGGGUAGGAAUCUGUAGCUGCCUCCCAGCCCCAGGGUGGAAAUCAUGACCUUUGAGAAGCAGGCAAGCUGCACGGCAUAGAUACUCAGGCCUGGUGAAGGCAAAGUGGGGCCACACCCUAGAAAAACCACAAAAGUCCCCACAGCCUCUGCUUUCACUAGUCAGACCUGUGGGAAACUUGUAAGACACAGUCCAUGUGAUCGGCGGGUGGGGGCAUGUUGGGAGGGGCCUUCCGAAGGCCACAGCCAGGCUGGCAGGGCAGAGUCCUUUCCAGAAUUUAUCUGUUUGCUUAAAGCCCAGCGGAGGGGCCACCUUCAACCAACCCUCCAGCAUACUGGUCCAAGUAGUUUUUUCAAAGUGCUUUGUGAGACUUUCAAAAGGUACCCAUGGGGAGGGAAGUGAGAGGAGGAGGAGGGGACGGGGAAGAAACAGCUUCUUUAUUUCUAGCCUUGCUUGAAUGGCUUCUUGACGGUUACUGCUCCAGUUUUGCUGAGUCAGAAGAAUCCCACAGCCGCUCACCGGAAACACAGCUGUUGGGCAAAAAUAACCACAGAGCUGAGCAUCAUGCACCUUCCAGAAAAGAUGGCAGGAAACCUCAAAACAAAAGAGAAAUACAAAACAAUAGGAGACACUGUCAAGAGAAAAAAAAAAAAAGCAAAAAAACCACCGCAGCUCACUAACCGAUCCAAGCUGAUGGCGCUCUCCUGAUCUCUCUCCACUCCCAGGCCCAGCAAUGGCUCUGAAAUAAAGCUAAGUUUGGCUGCAUAUA